rnacentral:rRNA from 1 species
GUAUGCUGGAGGUAUCAGAAGUGCGAAUGCUGACAUAAGUAACGAUAAAGCGGGUGAAAAGCCCGCUCGCCGGAAGACCAAGGGUUCCUGUCCAACGUUAAUCGGGGCAGGGUGAGUCGACCCCUAAGGCGAGGCCGAAAGGCGUAGUCGAUGGGAAACAGGUUAAUAUUCCUGUACUUGGUGUUACUGCGAAGGGGGGACGGAGAAGGCUAUGUUGGCCGGGCGACGGUUGUCCCGGUUUAAGCGUGUAGGCUGGUUUUCCAGGCAAAUCCGGAAAACUAAGGCUGAGGCGUGAUGACGAGGCACUACGGUGCUGAAGCAACAAAUGCCCUGCUUCCAGGAAAAGCCUCUAAGCAUCAGGUAACAUCAAAUCGUACCCCAAACCGACACAGGUGGUCAGGUAGAGAAUACCAAGGCGCUUGAGAGAACUCGGGUGAAGGAACUAGGCAAAAUGGUGCCGUAACUUCGGGAGAAGGCACGCUGAUAUGUAGGUGAAGUCCCUCGCGGAUGGAGCUGAAAUCAGUCGAAGAUACCAGCUGGCUGCAACUGUUUAUUAAAAACACAGCACUGUGCAAACACGAAAGUGGACGUAUACGGUGUGACGCCUGCCCGGUGCCGGAAGGUUAAUUGAUGGGGUCAGCGCAAGCGAAGCUCUUGAUCGAAGCCCCGGUAAACGGCGGCCGUAACUAUAACGGUCCUAAGGUAGCGAAAUUCCUUGUCGGGUAAGUUCCGACCUGCACGAAUGGCGUAAUGAUGGCCAGGCUGUCUCCACCCGAGACUCAGUGAAAUUGAACUCGCUGUGAAGAUGCAGUGUACCCGCGGCAAGACGGAAAGACCCCGUGAACCUUUACUAUAGCUUGACACUGAACAUUGAGCCUUGAUGUGUAGGAUAGGUGGGAGGCUUUGAAGUGUGGACGCCAGUCUGCAUGGAGCCGACCUUGAAAUACCACCCUUUAAUGUUUGAUGUUCUAACGUUGACCCGUAAUCCGGGUUGCGGACAGUGUCUGGUGGGUAGUUUGACUGGGGCGGUCUCCUCCUAAAGAGUAACGGAGGAGCACGAAGGUUGGCUAAUCCUGGUCGGACAUCAGGAGGUUAGUGCAAUGGCAUAAGCC